rnacentral:piRNA from 1 species
UGUAGACUGUAAACUUACUUA